rnacentral:tRNA from 1 species
GUGAAAAUAGUUUAAUUAAAACACUGAAUUGUGGCUUCAGAAAUACGGAUUCGUUUUUCACU